GUCACACUUCAUUUUUAUCGACAUCUUUGUUGUGGAACUCCGUAGUGAAGCGACUGACGGCUUUCUGAUUGACCUGAAAGCGUGUGUGGGUACCACAGCUGUGAUUACGAUUGCUAUGGCCUUCUUUAUUUGGUCGGGCCUACAUAUGGUAUAUCAAUUUGCUCGACCAGAAUAAAAGUUUUAUUCAAUAUUGCUGCAGAUAAAAACAACUGACCAUUUUUAGUGUAAUCUAAUGAUAAAGUCCUUUGCAAAAUACUCAUGGCUAUAUUAAUAUUCAUGGCUGUUCAGCUCCAAUAUUACUGGAACGUUAUUGAAAGACUGGGAUCAUGUCAGACUACUCUUUAGCCAAAAUAUUAGUUUGUUUUAUGCUAGUAGGUGACCCAUACCUGUAUUGAAGUCACAGUGACUUUUCUAUACUUGACAGUUUUUCAAAUUUUCAUUUCAAAUGAAUUAUAGUAACAGACAAAUGUGUGAUAUGCAUUUUGUGUACGGUAUUGCGAACGGCAAUGACUAAGAAGUAAGGCGUAUUUACAAAGAAAAAUCGUGCUACCGAAUCGUGCUAUUAGGCAUAGUCAAAUUUUUCAGCUACCACUCGGUGAAAAUGGCAGUUUCAAGAAAUUGACCGCUAAGAAUGACCGACCUCGUAUAGCUGCAACUGUAGAAGCGGAAGAGGCAGUGUUAAACCAAAUUGAGGAGGACCCUACAACAAGUACGAGAUCCAGAAUAGUGAAGAGGGAACUCUUAUAUUCGUACUAUGCAUUUACAGCGAGUGCAAGCACUUUUACCAGGUUAUUUUCCUCAAAACAACCACAAAAAAUAGGAGAAAAUCUUCAGCCUAUUAUCGUCAUUUUCUCGAAGAGUGCCCUCUAUAAGUGACAUCAAAACUAUCAAAAAAUUUUAUUUCAGCACCUUAAAAAAUCCCUAAACCUAAUUUCAUAUGGUUAUUUUCGUUUACUUACAAAUUAUUUAGAAAAACUAAAAAUGAAAUUGAAAUUUUAAAGUCCUGUAUCUCCGCAGGGAAGCAUUUUCGGCGAUAGGUUUAUAAGGAGGUUUUUCAAUAUUUUGAUUCAAGGAAUACGUCCUUAAAUUUUUGUGCAAUAACGAUGAUUUGCCGUGUAUAGGAGAAUUGUGUAUUUUCGAAUGUCUUUUUGUGAAUUGUGUAUCAGGACUCAGCUCUAAAAGAAAGCCAUGAAGAUUUGAAAAUAAUUAUAUAGUUUUAAAAUGC